UGGAUGGGGUGGCGGCCACGUGAUUGGCGUACCAGCGCGGAGGUGAGUCUGCGCUCCCUGGAUGGGAUCUGGAGGAGGUCGGAGAGGAGGAAGCUUGAGAAGAAGUCUUGGCCUCAGCAUGUGCAUAAGGCAGCUUUUCCAGUCCUCUCUUCUCCAAUGGGCUCGGAGGGCAGCCUUCCCGAAACACACCUGGGGCAGGCACCAGCGAGCCAGGCGAUGGGCACACUCUGGAAGCAGCACCUACAGAGCGGUGAUUUUUGACAUGGGUGGAGUUCUCAUUCCUUCUCCAGGGAGAGUGGCUGCAGAAUGGGAACCACAAAAUCAUAUCCCUCCUGGAACUAUACAGAAGGCCUGGAUCUUAGGCGGCGAAAAUGGGCCCUGGAUGAAACUUAUGAGGGGAGAGAUAACAACAGAGGAUUUCUUGCAAGAAUUUGGGAGCCUCUGCUCUGAAAUUGCGAAGACCUCGGUACCUGUGGGCUCCUUUUUCUCUCUGCUGACCAGUGAGCAAGUGGCAAAGCAGUUCCCAGUGAUGACUGAGGCCAUCACUCAGAUUCGGGCAAAAGGCCUUCGGACUGCAGUCUUGAGCAAUAAUUUUUAUCUUCGCAGUGGGAAAAGCUUUUUGCCCCUGGACCGGAAACAGUUUGAUGUGGUCGUGGAAUCCUGCCUAGAAGGUCUCUGUAAGCCAGACCCCAGGAUCUAUAAGCUGUGCUUGGAGCGGCUAGGCCUGCAGCCUUCUGAGUCCAUUUUUCUCGACGAUCUUGGGCCGAAUCUAAAAGCAGCUGCCAGCCUGGGCAUUCACACCAUUCAGGUUGAUGACCCAGAGACUGCCGUAAAGGAAUUAGAAACCCUUUUGGGCUUUACGUUGAGAAUGGUUAUUCCAAACACUGGCCCUGUGAGAAAGACAGUGGAAAUUCCACGAGAUUCCUUGGAGAAGUACCUCAAAGACUUACUAGGGACCCAAAGCACAGGCCCAUUGGAACUCCUUCAGUUUGAUCAUGGGAAGUCCAAUCCAACCUACUACAUCAGGCUCGGUAACCACCAGCUGGUUCUGAGGAGGAAGCCCCCGGGGACACUCGUUCCAUCCACCCAUGCAGUGGAGAGGGAAUUCAGGAUAAUGAAAGCCCUUGCAAAUGCUGGAGUGCCUGUCCCCAAAGUUCUUGACCUCUGUGAAGACUCAGGGGUCAUCGGCACCCCCUUCUAUCUGACGGAGUACUGCCCAGGCCUCAUCUACAGAGACCCCUCUCUUCCAGGCUUGGAGCCCAGCCAGAGGCAGGCCAUAUACACUGCCAUGAACAGAGUCUUGUGCAAAAUUCACAGUGUGGACCUCAAGGCUGCAGGCCUAGAAGACUACGGGAAACACGAGGACUAUAUUCCACGGCAGGUGCAAACCUGGACUAAGCAGUAUCGAGCCUCAGAAACCAGCACCAUCCCGGCGAUGGAGAGGCUUAUCCAGUGGCUGCCACUCCAUCUUCCCAGGCAACAGAAGAUUACGGUGGUGCAUGGGGACUUCAGGCUGGACAACCUGCUGUUCCAUCCAGAGAAGGCUGAAGUGCUUGCUGUCUUUGACUGGGAGCUCUCUACCUUAGGCGACCCCUUUGCGGAUGUGGCCUUCAGCUGCCUGGCUCACUACCUACCAUCCAGUUUUCCUGGUUCCCUGCUGCGAGGUUUGCGCGACUGUGAUUUCACUCAGCUGGGAAUCCCUACCGCAGAGGAGUAUUUCAGGAUGUACUGUCAUCACUCGGAGAUCCCUCCCCCUGAGAACUGGAACUUCUACAUGGCUUUCUCCUUUUUCCGCAUGGCUGCAAUCCUGCAAGGAGUCUACAGUCGCUCGCUCACAGGGCAAGCAAGCUCGGCAGCCACCGGACAAAGUGAAAAGCUGACUGAGUACGUAUCUAACCUGGCAUGGGAUUUUGCAGUCAAAGAAGGCUUCCGGGUUUUCAAAGAGAUGUCAGCCACAAAACCGCUAGUGAGGUCCCACCACACUCAGGCUGGCCUGAGUCCCUGCUGAGCACCCCAGCACGAGCAGUUAUAUCCUCUUUACAGACUCUUCUAGAGCUCCUGCCUCAAAGGGAGCUCUGGUUAUCUGUCCAGAGGGCCUUCCCCCGCACUCGGAAUGCUGUAUCAGUGACCACAGCACCCCGCUAAGCCAGAGCUGUGGACUCGCCAAGCCUCAGCGGAGGCUUGCACCCCUUCCCUGCCGAUUGAACAUCUCAGUGCAAAGCAGCGUAUCAGGAGUUGGUGAGACGUCAUCAGCGUGGCAGAACCUUGGCUCACGGGCUGGACACAUCUGUUCCCCUCGUAGGCAGGGGACAGACAGGAGGGCUGAGGUGAAUUAUCUUCACUUUCCAUCCUCAUUGGGAGGAGGCGGCUCUAGAUGAGUCAGUUUUCACUUUGUGGCUCUUUCUGCGAGACCGUGUCCUUGCCGGCCACCCAUCUGUUUUGCCUUUGGACAUCAAAUCCUAACCAUUUCCUGAGAGCAUUCAGCAGAUGAAGCAACAUGGUGUUCUUGCCAAGAAGCUAUGUCCCUGUCUUUGCUUGGCAUCUGUUACUUUGGUGAAGUUUGAAAUUCAGAGCAGAAUGAGUCUCCGUCUGUCGAGGUGAGUAGAAGGAAAAGGCCAGCCUCUAUGGCAGGAGGGGGCAAAGUUCCAAGGUCCAAAAGGUCAUGGGCUGCUGAGGACCACUUCUGCUACCAGCUCAUCUUUAAAAAUCAAAUACCAGAGAGACUGGUGGCUUUUGUUCCUGGGGUUCUAGAGUCUAGCCCUACACCACCCUCCUCCCCCAGCAUGUCCAUAGAAAACUUUAUUCUUUGAUCCCCUGAAAGGUUGGAAGCCCAUACAAAAGACAGCUGUUGCUGGGAAUGGUAAUUCAAAUCAGUGGCAUCAAUUUCACAAAAAUGAAACAAACCCUUGAGACAAAAGAAACAUCUCACAAGUAUCUCUGUACCAAGAACAAAGGCGGUGCAAUGUGUUUGGAUUACUGAGAGAACCUUCUAUGAUUCACACCUGUUUGAGCUGAGACUGACUAGUUCAUUUUUCUUUAAAAAGAAAGUGCUCCUCACAAUUCAACACCAAAACCCCCCACAAAUAAUGCAAUUAAAAAUGGGCAGAAAACAUGAACUGACAUUUCUCCAAGGAAGAC